rnacentral:rRNA from 1 species
CCUACGGGAGGCAGCAGUGGGGAAUAUUGGACAAUGGGCGAAAGCCUGAUCCAGCCAUGCCGCGUGUGUGAAGAAGGCCUUCGGGUUGUAAAGCACUUUCAGUGGGGAAGAAAGCCUUGGGGCUAAUACCCUCGAGGAAGGACAUCACCCACAGAAGAAGCACCGGCUAACUCCGUGCCAGCAGCCGCGGUAAUACGGAGGGUGCGAGAGUUAAUCGGAAUUACUGGGCGUAAAGCGCGCGUAGGCGGUCUGAUAAGCCGGUUGUGAAAGCCCCGGGCUCAACCUGGGAACGGCAUCCGGAACUGUCAGGCUAGAGUGCAGGAGAGGAAGGUAGAAUUCCCGGUGUAGCGGUGAAAUGCGUAGAGAUCGGGAGGAAUACCAGUGGCGAAGGCGGCCUUCUGGACUGACACUGACGCUGAGGUGCGAAAGCGUGGGUAGCAAACAGGAUUAGAUACCCGGGUAGUC